GACCUAAACCUUUGCAAAAAGGCAUGGUCGAAAAACACAACCAGUAUAAAGAACUCCUAGUCAGAGUUCACACUGGUUGUGUCAUAUCCCGAAAGGGGUGUGGGUAGCUCUUUGAGCUAUC
rfam:Parcubacteria bacterium GW2011_GWA2_45_15 TW97_C0034, whole genome shotgun sequence.